AUUGAACGCUGGCGGCAGGCCUAACACAUGCAAGUUGGGCGAGCGGCGGACGGGUGAGUAAUGUAUGGGGAUCUGCCUGAUGGAGGGGGAUAACUACUGGAAACGGUAGCUAAUACCGCAUCCCAUCAGAUGCCCCCAUAUGGGAUUAGCUUGUAGGUGAGGUAACGGCCAUCCUAGGCGACGAGCCCUAGCUGGUCUGAGAGGAUGAUCAGCCACACUGGGAAUGGGACACGGCGCCGAAGCCUACGCGAGGCAGGAGUGGGGAAUAUUGCACUAUGGGGGCAAUGCUGCUGCAGCCAUGCCGCGUGUAUGAAGAAGGCCUUCGGGUUGUAAAUCACUUGAAGUUGGGAGGCGUUUCCAGCAGAGUAAGCACCGGCUGACUGCGUGCCAGCAGCCGCGGUAAUAC
rnacentral:rRNA from 1 species